UACAGAGGGGGCAAGCGUUGUUCGGAAUUACUGGGCGUAAAGGGCGCGUAGGCGGCCUGUUAAGUCGGACGUGAAAUCCCUCGGCUCAUCCGGGGAACUGCGUCCGAUACUGGCGGGCUUGAAUUCGGGAGAGGGAUGUGGAAUUCCAGGUGUAGCGGUGAAAUGCGUAGAUAUCUGGAGGAACACCGGUGGCGAAGGCGGCAUCCUGGACCGACAUUGACGCUGAGGCGCGAAAGCCAGGGGAGCAAACGGG
rnacentral:rRNA from 1 species